AUUGAACGCUGGCGGCAUGCCUUACACAUGCAAGUCGAACGGUAACGGGCCUUCGGGUGCCGCCGAGUGGCGAACGGGUGAGUAAUACAUCGGAACGUGCACGAUCGUGGGGGAUAACGAGGCGAAAGCUUUGCUAAUACCGCAUACGAUCUACGGAUGAAAGCAGGGGACCGCAAGGCCUUGCGCGGACGGAGCGGCCGAUGGCAGAUUAGGUAGUUGGUGGGAUAAAAGCUUACCAAGCCGACGAUCUGUAGCUGGUCUGAGAGGAUGAUCAGCCACACUGGGACUGAGACACGGCCCAGACUCCUACGGGAGGCAGCAGUGGGGAAUUUUGGACAAUGGGCGCAAGCCUGAUCCAGCCAUGCCGCGUGCAGGAUGAAGGCCUUCGGGUUGUAAACUGCUUUUGUACGGAACGAAAAGCCUUCUUUUAAUACAGGAGGGUCAUGACGGUACCGUAAGAAUAAGCACCGGCUAACUACGUG
rnacentral:rRNA from 1 species